ACGCUGGCGGCAUGCCUAACACAUGCAAGUCGAACGAACUCUUCGGAGUUAGUGGCGCACGGGUGCGUAACGCGUGGGAAUCUGCCCUUGGGUACGGAAUAACUCAGAGAAAUUUGUGCUAAUACCGUAUAAUGUCUUCGGACCAAAGAUUUAUCGCCCAAGGAUGAGCCCGCGUAAGAUUAGCUUGUUGGUGAGGUAAAAGCUCACCAAGGCGACGAUCUUUAGCUGGUCUGAGAGGAUGAUCAGCCACACUGGGACUGAGACACGGCCCAGACUCCUACGGGAGGCAGCAGUGGGGAAUAUUGGACAAUGGGCGAAAGCCUGAUCCAGCAAUGCCGCGUGAGUGAUGAAGGCCUUAGGUUGUAAAGCUCUUUACCCGGGAUGAUAAUGACAGUACCGGGAGAAUAAGCUCCGGCUAACUCCGUG
rnacentral:rRNA from 1 species